rnacentral:rRNA from 1 species
GACGAACGCUGGCGGCGUGCUUAACACAUGCAAGUCGAACGGUAAGGCCCUGCUUCUGUGGGGUGCCCGAGAGGCGAACGGGUGUGUAACACGUGAGUAACCUGCCCCGUAAUCAGGGAAAACCUCAGGAAGCUGGGGCCACGAGCGGACAGGAGCACCUGCAGCAAGGAGUGCGACGGAAAGUUUCGGCGGAUGGGGAUGUACUCGCGGCAUAUCAGCUUGUGGGUGGGGUAGUGGCUUAGCAAGGCUUUGACGGGUAGCUGGCCUGGGAGGGUGACCGGACACAUUGGAACUGAAAUGCGGCACAGACUAGUCCGGGAGGCAGCGGUGGGGAAUAGUGUAUAAUGGGCGGAAGCCUGAUGCAGCACCGCCGCGUGGGGGAUGACGGGCUUCGGGUUGUAUACCGCUUUCGCCUGUGACGAAGCGAGAGUGACGGUAAUGGGUAAAGAAGCACCGGCUAACUACGUG